UACGUAGGGUGCAGGCGUUAAUCGGAAUUACUGGGCGUAAAGCGUGCGCAGGCGGUCUUUUAAGUCAGAUGUGAAAUCCCCGGGCUUAACCUGGGAACUGCGUUUGAAACUGGAAGGCUAGAGUGUGGCAGAGGGGGGUGGAAUUCCACGUGUAGCAGUGAAAUGCGUAGAUAUGUGGAGGAACACCGAUGGCGAAGGCAGCCCCCUGGGCUAACACUGACGCCUCAUGCACGAAAGCGUGGGGAGCAAACAGG
rnacentral:rRNA from 1 species